UUAUUUCUCAUUUAUUUCAUAUCAGUCUCGUUUAUUUUAUAUGCAUGUAACAAAUUCUGUCAUUCUUUCAAUUAUAAGGCAGAUUACUUCCUCUGAGUCACAAAAGAAUUAAUAUCCCAAAAGUUAACAAAGUUGUUUCCGGAAUUUUGAAGGAAAUGCAUAAUUCUCAAAAGUUAGUGCAUAUCAAGUGGUAAUCAGAGCAUAUUCCAAAAAAAAAGGGCCGAAAUGUGGUAAAUUAUCUAUAUUCUUGUUCUUCAUUAUUAUCCAUUUAUCAUUAUAAAAAAAAUCGAAAAAAAAG
rnacentral:lncRNA from 1 species